GAGCAGAGGAUGUGAAACAUUUAGACCGCUGAGGCCUCUCCGGCCUUUGAUGAUCUAAAAAUCGAGCUUUUUAAAACUGAUGCCUA
rfam:Triticum urartu cultivar G1812 contig755604, whole genome shotgun sequence.